rnacentral:rRNA from 1 species
GAGUUUGGAUCCUGGCUCAGGAUGAACGCUAGCUACAGGCUUAACACAUGCAAGUCGAGGGGCAGCAUCAUCAAAGCUUGCUUUGAUGGAUGGCGACCGGCGCACGGGUGAGUAACACGUAUCCAACCUGCCGACAACACUGGGAUAGCCUUUCGAAAGAAAGAUUAAUACCGGAUGGCAUAAUUAUUCCGCAUGGGAUAAUUAUUAAAGAAUUUCGGUUGUCGAUGGGGAUGCGUUCCAUUAGG